UACGUAGGGGGCAAGCGUUGUCCGGAUUUAUUGGGCGUAAAGAGCGUGUAGGCGGCCAUGUAGGUCCGUUGUGAAAACUCGAGGCUCAACCUCGAGACGCCGAUGGAAACCAUGUGGCUAGAGUCCGGAAGAGGAGAGUGGAAUUCCUGGUGUAGCGGUGAAAUACGCAGAUAUCAGGAGGAACACCGAUGGCGAAGGCAGAUCUCUGGGCCGUAACUGACGCUGAGGAGCGAAAGCGUGGGGAUCAAACAGG
rnacentral:rRNA from 1 species